GGGGGAUAACUAUUUGGAAACGAUAGCUAAUACCGCAUAACAUUGACUAUUGCAUGAUAGUCAAUUUGAAAAGGGCAAAUGCACCACUACCAGAUGGACCUGCGUUGUAUUAGCUAGUUGGUGGGGUAACGGCUCACCAAGGCGACGAUACAUAGCCGACCUGAGAGGGUGAUCGGCCACACUGGGACUGAGACACGGCCCAGACUCUCUACGGGAGGCAGCAGUAGGGAAUCUUCGGCAAUGGACGGAAGUCUGACCGAGCAACGCCGCGUGAGUGAAGAAGGUUUUCGGAUCGUAAAGCUCUGUUGUAAGAGAAGAACGAGUGUGAGAGUGGAAA
rnacentral:rRNA from 1 species